ACAGCUAUAUCACUUUGAAACACCAGUUCCUGUAUGACCACUGAAGUUAAGCAAUGUCAAGCAUGGUCAGUACCUAGAUGGGUAACCACUUGGGAAUGUCAGGUGCU